rnacentral:lncRNA from 1 species
UCUCACCUGUGCAUGUGCCUCCUUCAUACCCAGUGCCAGUGUCUGCCAUCCCGCCACGGAAUGUCUGUUUCAUUGUGGCCAAAUACCAGCUCCUUGGAGGACAGGGAGAAGGUCCUAUCUUGGUGUGGUGUCUUCCUACCUGCACAGGGCUCGGCAUAGGGAAGGACCUCGCAGAACAGGUUCAGAUGCUUGCCCAAGGUCAUAGGGUGGAUGAGCAGCAAGGUCAAGACUGGAUCUCAGAUCUCCAUCUUCCUGCUCAGGACCCUUUCUCUCCACAGGCCAUUUUGCUUCAGCUCAGGAGACCAGGCCUGGUAUGCGGAGGGUGGAGGAGCACCCCAUGUGAGGACAGCAGGCAACUGGAGGACAGUACACACCCCACAUCUUGGAGUGGAGUGAUGGUGAAAAGUGAACAUUUUGACUUGCUCCAGGAUAUCAAGUCAGCCACGACAAUGCAACUGAAGAUACUCACGAAAGAGGACUUCCAGAGCUGCUUCAGAAAGUGA